AUAAGCGGAGGAAAAGAAACCAACAGGGAUUGCCUUAGUAACGGCGAGUGAAGCGGCAACAGCUCAAAUUUGAAAUCUGGCCUCUUUGGGGUCCGAGUUGUAAUUUGCAGAGGGUGCUUUGGCGUCGGCUGUGGUCUAAGUUCCUUGGAACAGGACGUCGCAGAGGGUGAGAAUCCCGUAUGUGGCCGCCAGCCUUCGCCGUGUAAAGCCCCUUCGACGAGUCGAGUUGUUUGGGAAUGCAGCUCUAAAUGGGAGGUAAAUUUCUUCUAAAGCUAAAUAUCUGCCAGAGACCGAUAGCGCACAAGUAGAGUGAUCGAAAGAUGAAAAGCACUUUGGAAAGAGAGUCAAAAAGCACGUGAAAUUGUUGAAAGGGAAGCGCUUGCAGUUAGACAUGCCUCUAGUUGUUCAGCCAGGCUUUUGCCUGGUGCACUCUUCUAUGGGCAGGCCAGCAUCAGUUUAGGCGGUUGGAUAAAGGUCUAUUAAACGUGACUCCCUUCGGGGAGAGCUUAUAGGGUAGGCGACACGCAACCAGCCCGAACUGAGGUCCGCGCAUCUGCUAGGAUGCUGGCGUAAUAGCUGUAAGCGGCCCGUCUUGAAACACGGACCAAGGAGUCUAACAUCUAUGCGAGUGUUUGGGUGUUAAAGCCCGGGCGCGCAAUGAAAGUAAACGGAGGUGGGAUCCCUCACGGGUGCACCAUCGACCGAUCCUGAUGUCUUCGGAUGGAUUUGAGUAAGAGCAUAGCUGUUGGGACCCGAAAGAUGGUGAACUAUGCCUGAAUAGGGUGAAGCCAGAGGAAACUCUGGUGGAGGCUCGCAGCGGUUCUGACGUGCAAAUCGAUCGUCAAAUUUGGGCAUAGGGGCGAAAGACUAAUCGAACUAUCUAGUAGCUGGUUCCUGCCGAAGUUUCCCUCAGGAUAGCAGUAACGUUUUCAGUUUUAUGAGGUAAAGCGAAUGAUUAGAGGCCUGGGGGUUGAAACAACCUUCACCUAUUCUCAAACUUUAAAUAUGUAAGAAGUCCUUGUUACUUAAUU
rnacentral:rRNA from 1 species